AUGUCAUCAUCAUUUGUGAUGUCAUUGGGGUCAUCAUCAGUGUUGUCAUCAUUGGUGAUGUCAUUGGUUUUGCCAUUGGUGAUGUCAUCACCAUCACUGGUAUUGUCAUUGAUGUCAUCAUCAUCAUCAUCAUCGGUGUCAUCGUCAUCAGUGAUGUCACUGACGGCAUCAUCAUUACUGGUGUCAUCGAUGUCAUCGUAUCAUCACCAUCGUCAUUGUCAUUGGUGUCAUCAUCAUCAUCAUCAUCACUGUCAUUGUCAGUCAUUGUCACCCUCACCAUCGUUGGUCAUUGUCAUUGUUGGUCAUGGUCACCAUGAUUCAUCAUCAUCAUCCUCACCAUCGUUGGUCAUUGUCACUGUUGGUCAUGGUCAUUGUCAUCCUCACCAUCAUUGGUCAUUGUCACUGUCACCACUGUCAGUCAUGGUCAUCGUUGGUCAUGGUCAUCAUCAUCCAUGGCUGGUCAUGGUCAUCAUCAUCCUCAGCAUCGUUGGUCAUUGUCACUGUCACCACUGUCAGUCUUUGUCAUCGUUGGUCAUCAUCAUCCUCAUCCUCAUUGGUCAUUGUCACUGUCACCAUCAUCGGUCAUUGCUGGUCUUCAUCAUCCUCAUCCUCACCAUCGCUGGUCAUGGUCAUCAUUGGCCAUGGUCAUCGUCAUCCUCACCAUUGGCCAUCAUCAUCCUCACUGUCACCAUCGUUGGUCAUCGUCACCGUGGCCAUCGUUGGCCAUCCUCAUCCUCACCAUGGCUGGUUAUGGUCAUCAUCAUCAUCAUCAUCAUCAUCAUCCGUCAUCCUCACCAUGGUUGGUCAUCGUUGGCCAUCCUCAUCCUCACCAUGGCUGGUCAUGGUCAUCAUCCUCAUCCUCAUCCUCACCAUGGUUGGUCAUGGUUGGUCAUCCUCACAGUGGCCAUCGUUGGUCAUGGUCAUCCUCAUCAUCAUCCUCAUCCUCACCAUGGUUGCCCAUCGUUGGUCAUCGUCACCGUGGCCAUCGUUGCCCAUCCUCACUGUCACCGUCGCCGUCACCACCGCGGCCGCCGCCCUCCCAGAGCCGGGAACGCCGGGAGCGCCAGGAGCCGGCUCCGGCCGCCCCGACAUUCCCAAAAAUCCGCGGGAAUUCCCGGUUUUCCCUCCCGCCCCCGUCCCGGGGCCGAGCGCGAGGAGGACCCGGAAUAACGGAGGAGUCGCGGGAUCGGGAUCUGGAGUUUGUGGUGGGGAAC
rnacentral:lncRNA from 1 species